rnacentral:rRNA from 1 species
CUGGAAUGGUUCCUGACUAAAAUCUAUAUGGCCUCUGGAUUGGACUGCGGCCGAUCAGGCUGUUGGUGAGGUAAUGGCCCACCAAACCUGUAACCGGUACGGGCUCUGAGAGGAGGAGCCCGGAGAUGGGCACUGAGACAAGGGCCCAGGCCCUAUGGGGCGCAGCAGGCGCGAAACCUCUGCAAUAGGCGAAAGCCUGACAGGGUUACUCUGAGUGACUUUCGCUAAGAAAGUCUUUUGGCACCUCUAAAAAUGGUGCAGAAUAAGGGGUGGGCAAGCCUGGUGUCAGCCGCCGCGGUAAUACCAGCACCCCGAGUGGUCGGGACGAUUAUUGGGCCUAAAGCAUCCGUAGCCGGUUCUACAAGUCUUCCGUUAAAUCCACCUGCUUAACAGAUGGGCUGCGGAGGAUACUAUGGAGCUAGGAGGCGGGAGAGGCAAGCGGUACUUAGUGGGUAGGGGUAAAAUCCGUUGAUCCAUUGAAGACCACCAGUGGCGAAGGCGGCUUGCCAGAACGCACUCGACGGUGAGGGAUGAAAGCUGGGGGAGCAAACCGGAUUAGAUACCCGGGUAGUCCCAGCUGUAAACGAUGCAGACUCGGUGAUGAAUAGGCUUCGUGCCUCUUCAGUGCCGCAGGGAAGCCGUUAAGUCUGCCGCCUGGGGAGCACGGUCGCAAGACUGAAACUUAAAGGAAUUGGCGGGGGAGCACCACAAGGGGUGAAGCCUGCGGUUCAAUUGGAUUCAACGCCGGA